rnacentral:rRNA from 1 species
UAAGGGAUAUUGCGCAAUGGGCGAAAGCCUGACGCAGCAACGCCGCGUGGAGGAUGAAGGCCUUCGGGUCGUAAACUUCUUUUAGCAGGGACGAGGAAGGACGGUACCUGCGGAAUCAGUCACGGCUAACUACGUGCCAGCAGCCGCGGUAAAACGUAGGUGGCAAGCGUUAUCCGGAAUUACUGGGCGUAAAGGGUGUGCAGGCGGGGAGACAAGUGGUGUAUGAAAUCUCCCAGCUUAACUGGGAGGGGUUAUGCCAGACUGUAUCUCUAGAGGACGAGAGAGGGGGGUGGAAUUCCGGGUGUAGUGGUGAAAUGCGUAGAGAUCCGGAGGAACCCCAGAGGCGAAGGCGGCCCCCUGGCUCGUACCUGACGCUCAGCCACGAAAGCAUGGGGAGCGAACGGGAUUAGAUACCCCCGUAGUCC